CCUACGGGAGGCAGCAGUGGGGAAUCUUCCGCAAUGGACGAAAGUCUGACGGAGCAACGCCGCGUGUAUGAUGAAGGUCUUCGGAUUGUAAAGUACUGUCUUUGGGGAAGAACGGUGGGUUUGAGAAUAUUGAGUCCACAUGACGGUACCCAAGGAGGAAGCCCCGGCUAACUACGUGCCAGCAGCCGCGGUAAUACGUAGGGGGCAAGCGUUGUCCGGAAUUAUUGGGCGUAAAGGGCGCGUAGGCGGAUGCUUAAGUCCGGUGUGAAAGAUCAGGGCUCAACCCUGAGAGUGCAUCGGAAACUGGGUAUCUUGAGGACAGGAGAGGAAAGUGGAAUUCCACGUGUAGCGGUGAAAUGCGUAGAUAUGUGGAGGAACACCAGUGGCGAAGGCGACUUUCUGGACUGUAACUGACGCUGAGGCGCGAAAGCGUGGGGAGCAAACAGGAUUAGAUACCCUGGUAGUCCACGCCGUAAACGAUGAGUGCUAGGUGUAGAGGGUAUCGACCCCUUCUGUGCCGCAGUUAACACAAUAAGCACUCCGCCUGGGGAGUACGGCCGCAAGGUUGAAACUCAAAAGCUGAAUUGACGG
rnacentral:rRNA from 1 species